GUUCAAACACUGGUUUCCGUACGAUCACCGAAGUUAAGCAACAUCAAGCCUGGUUAGUACCUAGACGGGUGACCGCUUAGGAAUACCACGAACUGCA